CAGUGACUGAAAUGAUUCAGGAAGACCUAUAGUUCUUGAACUUCAGACUCAGAUAAGUCUUUCAAUAUACAACUUGUUUUCUUCCAUUCUCUAAGCGUCAGUAUUUUCUUUACGCACCCCAUUUUUGAGUCUUUAAAAGCCUUCCCUGCUGUUUUCAGGAUUUCCAGGCUGCAGCUGACUUGCCUCACAGGAUAAAUGCACAACUGAAUACUGUACAAACACAGGUCAAACUUCCUGAAGCUGGUAAAAAAUGAAGAUGGCUGUUAAACGUUUGAUGACCUAUCUCUAUUGGCUAUACUAUCAGUAUAAACUGAUCACCUGUAGUGAACUCAUGGUACCCAGUGAACUAUUGAUCUUCUACACUGUUGUUGUUCCUAUGCUUGCGGUGAUUGUGUACAUGGUUUACAUCUUUAUCGCUAUGCAGAUCAAUCUGGCUUUCCAGUUUUUCUUAUUUGUCUUUGGAAUCGAACCUGAAAGUACUGUUUCUAUUACAAAGUAGCCUAGCUACCAUCAUGGUGGCUUUUUGAUCCUGCACGCUGUUCUCAUAAAGCUAUGUAUUUGUUUAGAAGCAGUUUGAGGUUUACGCAAACACUGCUUUUUGUGUGUGUAAAAUCUGCUUAAAUAGGAAUUAUACAGAAGAUAAAACCAACCUUUAUUCUGUAAUGGACACUUCAUCCUAGAUGUAUUACUUACUAAAUAUUCUACUUGUUCACCUUAAGAAUAGUGUUCAUAUACAAUAUUUUAGAUAUACUGAAAUGGGAUAAAUUAAUUAUCUAAUCGUUAUACAUUAGAGCUGGUAAAAAUAUUUCAAUAUUUGGUGGAAAAAUUGUGGAAAACAAGAUUUUACAUUUUCAUGAAUGCUUUUUGACCAGCUUUAUUAAACAUACAGAGAUCUUA